UCAUUAGUGAACCUCACAAGAAUGGGCC
rnacentral:sRNA from 1 species